rnacentral:rRNA from 1 species
GCCUACGGGGGGCAGCAGUGGGGAAUAUUGCACAAUGGGGGAAACCCUGAUGCAGCGACGCCGCGUGAGUGAAGAAGUAUUUCGGUAUGUAAAGCUCUAUCAGCAGGGAAGAAACCCACCCUUUGGGGUGGCUGACGGUACCUGACUAAGAAGCCCCGGCUAAAUACGUGCCAGCAGCCGCGGUAAUACGUAUGGGGCAAGCGUUAUCCGGAUUUACUGGGUGUAAAGGGAGCGCAGGCGGCUUGGCAAGUCUGAUGUGAAAGGCUGGGGCUCAACCCCAGGACUGCAUUGGAAACUGUUAGGCU